rnacentral:rRNA from 1 species
UACGUGGGGGGCAAGCGUUGUCCGGAAUCAUUGGGCGUAAAGAGCGUGUAGGUGGCUCGGUAAGUCCGCUGUAAAAGUCCAGGGCUCAACCCUGGAAAGCCGGUGGAAACUGUCGAGCUAGAGUCCGGAAGAGGCGAGUGGAAUUCCUGGUGUAGCGGUGAAAUGCGCAGAUAUCAGGAGGAACACCAAUGGCGAAGGCAGCUCGCUGGGACGGUACUGACACUGAGACGCGAAAGCGUGGGGAGCAAACAGG